ensembl:lncRNA
CCCUAACCCAAGUCUAACCCCAGCCCCAAGUCUAACCCCAACCUCAAGUCUCACCCAACGUCUCAGAGUCUAGCUUACCUUCACACCUACCUGUUGCACUUAGCUUCAAGUGGGAUCUGUGUCCUGGUAAUGUUGAAUUAAAGCACACCACUGAAUUAGAUUGCAUAAGUAUUUGUUUAUUACAGCACUGUUUCCUCAAGACAUGACUCGUACAAUUGUAUGCACACUACAGCAAUGCCUACAUGUUGACAAACAAAACAUGAAUACACGUACUCCAUACAAUUGCAAGACACCGUUUACAGGCGCAGCACCCACCUACUCCAUACAAUUCCAAGACACCGUUUACAGGCGCAGCACCCGCGUACUCCAUACAUUUUAAGGCAUGGUUUACAUAUAACGCAUAUGUCAGACUCACAAGACAAAGGUCACAAAGCCUCCAUAUCCAAUAAAUAACAUUACAUUUACACUAAUAUUGUGUACUGCAACCCACCUCAAGAGCAGAGCAGAUCUCAGCCCACCUGAAGUAAAUGCAAGCCUCAGACAGGCCGGGAAGGAGAGCAAAUGGGCUCCGUUGGUUAUGGGGUUGGGUUAGCCCUGCGGUACAAACAAACAUAGCAAAGCUAACCCAACCCCGUAAGCAAGGCAAAGCUAAAGCCAAUUUGGCUGAGAUCAAUUGAUUGCAAAGCUAAAGCCAAUUUGGGCAAGAUCAAUUGACUGCACAUGCCAAAAUCGGCGCAACUCUCAGAAUGGCCGCGCAAAGGGGCGUGAGUCUCAGACUGGCCGGGAAGGAGCGCAAAUGGGCUCCGAAGGCCUCGGGCGUUGGUUACGGGGUUGGGUUAGCCCUGCGGUACAAACAAACAAAGCAAAGCUAACCCAACCCCGUAAGCAAGGCAAAGCUAAAGCCAAUUUGGCUGAGAUCAAUUGAUUGCAAAGCUAAAGCCAAUUUGGGCAAGAUCAAUUGACUGCACAUGCCAAAAUCGGCAGCAACUCUCAGAAUGGCCUGUGCAAAGGGGCAUGAGUCUCAGACUGGCCGGGAAGGAGCGCAAAUGGGCUCCGAAGGCCUCGGGCGUUGGUUACGGGGUUGGGUUAGCCCUGCGGUACAAACAAACAAAGCAAAGCUAACCCAACCCCGUAAGCAAGGCAAAGCUAAAGCCAAUUUGGCUGAGAUCAAUUGAUUGCAAAGCUAAAGCCAAUUUGGGCAAGAUCAAUUGACUGCACAUGCCAAAAUCGGCGCAACUCUCAGAAUGGCCGCGCAAAGGGGCGCGAGUCUCAGACUGGCCGGGAAGGAGCGCAAAUGGGCUCCGAAGGCCUCGGGCGUUGGUUACGGGGUUGGGUUAGCCCUGCGGUACAAACAAACAAAGCAAAGCUAACCCAACCCCGUAAGCAAGGCAAAGCUAAAGCCAAUUUGGCUGAGAUCAAUUGAUUGCAAAGCUAAAGCCAAUUUGGGCAAGAUCAAUUGACUGCACAUGCCAAAAUCGGCGCAACUCUCAGAAUGGCCGCGCAAAGGGGCGCGAGUCUCAGACUGGCCGGGAAGGAGCGCAAAUGGGCUCCAAAGGCCUCGGGCGUUGGUUACGGGGUUGGGUUAGCCCUGCGGUACAAACAAACAAAGCAAAGCUAACCCAACCCCGUAAGCAAGGCAAAGCUAAAGCCAACUUAGUUGCAAUGCAUUAACUGCAAAGCUAAAGCCAAUUUGGUUGAGAUAAAUUAUUUGUAAAGCUAAAGCCAAUUGGGUUGAUGCAAAAUGACUGCACGCGCUGAAAUCAGCGUGACUCUCAGCAUGGCCGUGAGUCUCAAACAGACUGGAUGGAGUGCGAAUGGUCCCUGUCCAGCUACAGGAUGUCAGUUACGGGAUUAGGGUCAGCCACGCUAGCAAACUCAAAGCGAAGGUGACCCAACCCCAUGAGUGAGGCAAACCCUUUGAUGUGCUAUCCCUCGAAAUUCUCUCAAAGAUUGCAGCCGGCUACUUGGACGGGUACGUUGCUUGCUAGAUGAAGAACUAGCUGAACCGCCUGGCCUAAUGAGUGCUGCUCCGAUCGUGUUAAAUGCAGCUGGUAUGCCAUCCUGAGUGCUCUUCAGGCCUGUUCUGUCCAAUAUCUUCAUUGAAGACCUGCCUGAUGGCAUGGAGUGCACCUUUGGUAAGUUUGCUGAGGGCGUUGCAUCAGAUUAGCACUAUGUUUGGAGUUCAGAGCUCAUUAGGAGUUGGGGUGAAGGUAUAAGGGUUAGGUUUAUUAGGGUUAUGCUCAAAGUGACUGUUAGGGAAGGCCAAGGCAAAGGCAACAACACCCAAGGGAACACCAAAACCGAGGGCAAAGGCAUAGACAACAACCAAGGGAAGGCAACGUCAAAGGCACAGUGAAAGCAAAGGUAUGGAGAACACCAAAGAGAAGACCUCCUCAGAGGGCAGGCCCAAAGAGAGGGCCUCAGAGAACAAAACAGAGACCAAAGAGAACACCGUGGCAAGGCCAAAAUGGAGGGCGAGGUCCAUGAGAACGCUGCAGGGAAGGCCGAUGCAGGAGGCCAAGGGCAAUGGCCAAAGAGAAUGCAGCACAGAAGGCCAAAACCAAAGGCCAAAGAGAACGCUGUAGGGAAUGCCAAAACAAGAAGGCCAAAGGCAAAGGCCAAACAGAACGCAACAAGGAAUGCCAAAACCAAAGGCCAAAGAGAUCGUCGCAGAGAAUGCCACAACAGGGGGCUGAAAGGAGCACAGGCAAAGAAGGCCAAGGGCAAAGGUCAAAGAGAACAUGGAAGGGAACGCCAAAGAGAAUGUGGCAAAGGCGGUCAAACGCGAUGGCCAGGAGAACGUGGCAUGGAUGGCAAAAACCUAAGGCCAAAUAGAACACUGCAUGGAACACCAGAAGUGAUGGCCAAAGAGAACGCUGCAGGGAACGCCAAAACCUGAGGCCAAAAAGAAUGCCGCAAAGAAGGCCAAGGGCAAUGGCCAAGAGAACAUGACAAGGAAUGCAAAAACAAGAGGACAAGAGAAUGUAGUAGGGAACGCCAAGGGCAAAGGGAAGGAGAACACCGCCGUGAAAGGCCAGAGCCAAGGAGAACGUGCAAAGAAUAGGACGGGCAGCCUUCGGGGAACCCUGCAGUGCAGAAAGGAGCUCUGGGAACCCUACCUUGUGUCUCACUCAGUAAGGGGUAAACACUGGUGGGUGUGCAUUGUCCUUACCUGCUGGGCAGACAAUUACCAGUCAGCAAAGUGGAGUUCCAGGGCAUCCCGGGAAAUGCAGCUUUCGGUUCCUGGCUGUUCCCGUGAAGACCUGCACAUCUCUCCGUGCAGUCCUUACAGCACUCGGGAGUGCUGCAGCUCUCUGCUGCCACCUGUUGGACACAAUGCAGGAAUGAAGGCGCUGCCCCGCAUAUGUAGGGCUGCACCCUGCGUGCAUUGCUCUAUAGGAUGACACAAGGGAGUAUUAGGAAUAUAAUGAAUGCUAUGCAUAGGUUUGAAGUUACAAUUAGCUUAACAAUUGUUUUCCACACUAUGAUUAGGAUUAAGGGUACUGUGACAGAAAACAAGCGGCAUUAUUUUUAUUGCAGCAUUUAGGUUAAGAGACAUUUUUAAUAUUGGCUUAAUAGUUAGGCUUACAUAUACACUGUGGGUUAACAUAAUUAUCAUUAGAGCUCACAUUAAGCUACGGGUUCAGGUCAAGAUUAACAUUCACGCUGCCUCCCAGCCAAUCCCAGAGAGCCAAAGAAAAAAGGCAAGCUGAACUCGCACCGAAAGCCAAGGUAAAGGCAAAGCAAACAGCCAAGGCGAAGGGAAGGGCAAAAGCAAGGAGAGCACCCAACGGAAAGCCAAGGUGAGGGUGAGGAGACAGCAGCAGGAAAAACCAAGGGCAAAGGCCAAGAGAACACAGCAAAAAAUGCCAAAACAGAAGGCCGAGGGAACACAUGCAUGGAAUGCUCAGGUCAGGGCAAGGGCUAAGAGAACGUGGCAGGAAGUGCCAAAACAGGAGGCCAAAGAGAACACGGCAAAGAAGGCCAAGGCAGAAGGCUGAGAGAAGGUGGCUGGGAACACCAGAACAUGAUGCCAAAGAGAACGCUGCAGGAAACGCCCAAACAGGAGGGCAAGAGAACACUGCAGGGAACGCCAAAACUGAAUGCUGAAGAGAACGUGGCAGAAGAAAAAGAAGUUCAAUAGCCAAGAGAAUGUGGCAUGGAACGCAAAAACAGGAGGGCAAGGGAAUGCCUAGGUAAGGGCCAAGAGAAUGUGGAAGGAAAUGCCAAGGAAAUGGCCAAGAGAACAUGACAAGAAACGCCAAAACAGAAGGGCAAGAGAGCACUGCAGGGAACGCCAAAACUGAAUGUUGAAGUGAAUGUGGCCAAGAAAGUCAAGGGCAAUGGCCAAGAGAACAUGACAAGGAAUGCAAACAAGAGGACAAGAGAAUGUAGUAGGGAACGCCAAGGGCAAAGGGAAGGAGAACACCGCCGUGAAAGGCCAGAGCCAAGGAGAACGUGCAAAGAAUAGGACGGGCAGCCUUCGGGGAACCCUGAAGUGCAGAAAGGAGCUCUGGGAACCCUACCUUGUGUCUCACUCAGUAAGGGGUAAACACUGGUGGGUGUGCAUUGUCCUUACCUGCUGGGCAGACAAUUACCAGUCAGCAAAGUGGAGUUCCAGGGCAUCCCAGGAAAUGCAGCUUUCGGUUCCUGGCUGUUCCCGUGAAGACCUGCACAUCUCUCCGUGCAGUCCUUACAGCACUCGGGAGCGCUGCAGCUCUCUGCUGCCACCUGUUGGACACAAUGCAGGAAUGAAGGCGCUGCCCCGCAUAUGUAGGGCUGCACCCUGCGUGCAUUGCUCUAUAGAAUGACGCAAGGGACUAUUAGGGAUAUAAUUAAUGCUGUUUAUAAGUUACUUAAUGGGGGUCAGGGGAUGGGAGGAAAAGGUGUGGGGGUUUGGGUAUCAUACAGAUUAGGAAACAAAUAGCAUCUCCUGACAAUUGGGAUGAGAUAUCUGGAGAUCCUGACUGUAGUCAUCCAGAAGAGGACAACCCUUUCUUUUUUAUUAACACAAACCCAGAUCUGCUGGUGAAACAGAAAUGACCGUAAGACCCUGGGGAAGUCAGCAUAGUCGUGAUGUUCCAUUAGCUGCUCCACAGGCCUCACACCACCGAUUAGAGGAGUCCCAACAAUCCUUAAAACCCACUGAGCUGCAAACUGAGAUCAGAAGAGAGGACAUAAUUUAAAACAUGAUAAUGAUGCCCAGAAUGCCCUUCAACAACUCUGCGUGGGUGCAAUUAACACAUGGCACUGUGAAUUACAGCCAUAAGAUGGGAUGAUGGGGGAGAAGACAAACCACAUUUGGAGCCGAGGUUGGAGAUCAUGAGGUGAAAACCAUGAAAGAGGAAACAGCGACUCAAUCAGAAAGAAAUGGGCUUAAAAAGGGCUGCAAACAGGAUCUGCAGAAUGCAGAACCCCUGAACGGAAUAGGGUAUUAACUGUCACCGUGUCCAGAACCGCAGCGCUCAGUCAGCCAAUCAGCAUCAUUAGGGCUCAUUGAAGCAAUCCAGAAGCAAGGGAACUGUGAAAGGAAGGAAUGGAUGUCAGUCCAUCCAUCAGCUGCUCAGAGAACAGGAGAGAACCCCUUCAUCUCCCUUAGGACAAGACUGAAGGCACCGUAGGGACACACACAGCAGAUACAGCUGCUCUAAUCCAGCUCAGGAUCUCCCCGGAAAGACAUGGCUCACAGCUCUACAAUAAAGCAGGAAUCCCUCACCCCAUUUAAGGGCUUCCCCCCACACCCCAAAGGAAGCAGUCUCCAAGUUCAGAUACAGGCCUGAAAGCUACCAGUUCUUACAUGGGGUCAAGAUCCCCCCAAAAGAGGAGCUCAGAGCCCUGAAAUUCAGAAAGAACCACUUACCCCAUUCCAAGGACCAAUACUCACUCGCUCCCCCAAAGAAGCAGUUUCCAGGUACAGAUGGCUGCCAGCCCCAAAAUGCAGCUAUGAACCCCCAGCAAAGGGGUAGAUCACAGCCCUCCAAUACAGAAGAACUCACCCCCACACCCUCAAGGAAGCACACCCAGACUCAGAUGCUGCCCCCUUUGCUUCCCAGCCCUUAAAUGCGGUCAGGGAGGGGAGGAGCCCGUCUCAGCCCCACCCCACAGCCAAAUUGCCAUCAGCUGUGCUCGCAGGGCUGCACCUCCCCAGGUGAAUGGGAGCUGCUGAGUCAUGGCCUGAACCACUGAUUGAUUGGCUGAGGCAGAACUCAGUCAGCUGUGGGAGCACAGGUGGAGUCAAUCCAGAGUGUGAAUAGAAGGUGGAGCCUGGCUGCAGCUCUCCAAGAUAGCAUUUAAGGGCUGACUACCCCCAGGAAAAGGUCUAUAUUGUAACUUCGGGAUGUUUGUUUUCAGGAUUCUCUAUCAGAGCAUCUUAUAAGGCAAUAAGAGUUAAAGAGCCUACAUUGUGGAUGAGCGUGCUGCUUCCCUGAGCACUUCGGGUCCUCAAAAAAGAAAAAAGGAGCAACAUUCCUGGAGGAAACUGGCAAAAAAAGGUAGGCAUUUUGAUUACUUACAUACACAUGAAUAAUAUAUAUAUAUCAGGUUGACUGAUUGCAUCACUACAAAAUCAUGCAUUUUCUUUCAAAAAAAUCCACAUAUACCCGAAAAACAUCCAUUUUCUCUCUGAAAAUCCCCCAUUUACUCAACUAUCAUGCUUUUUCUCUUAGAAAAUACCCCAUCUACCCAAAUAACCAGCAUUCUGAUUUCAAAAUCCGAAAGCUAAACAAAAAAAUCAUCACUUUCUCAAUGAAAAUUCCACAUUAAAAGCAAAAAUCAUGCAUUGCAACUUCAAAAAUACUCCAUUUAACCCGAAUGUCAUCCAUUGGCUUUAUGAAAUCUCAAAUUAAACAGAAAAUUACGCAUUUUCACUUUGAGAAUCCCCCAAUUAAAGCAAAAUAAGGCAGUGCCUUCAGAAAUCCCCCAUUUAAGCGAAAAUCACGAGUUUUCUCUUCGCAAAUCCCCCAUCUAAGCCGAAAAUCACGCAUUUCUCUUCAGAAAUCCCACAUUUAAGCGAAAAUCACGCGCUUUUCUCUUCGCAAAUCCCCCAUUUAACCGAAAAUCACGCGUUUUCUCUUCGCAAAUCCCCCAUUUAACCGAAAAUCACGCGUUUUCUCUUCGCAAAUCCCCCAUUUAAGCCGAAAAUCACGCAUUUUCUCUUCGCAAAUCCCCCAUUUAACCGAAAAUCACGCGUUUUCUCUUCGCAAAUCCCCCAUUUAACCGAAAAUCACGCGUUUUCUCUUCCAAAUCCCCCAUUUAAGCGAAAAUCACGCGUUUUCUCUUCGAGAAUCCCCCAUUUAACGAAAAAUCACGCGUUUUCUCUUCGCAAAUCCCCCAUUUAAGCCGAAAAUCACGCGUUUUCUCUUCGCAAAUCCCCCAUUUAACCCGAAAAUCACGCGUUUUCUCUUCGCAAAUCCCCCAUUUAAGCGAAAAUCACGCGUUUUCUCUUCAGCAAAUCCCCCAUUUAACUCGAAAAUCACGCGUUUUCUCUUCGCAAAUCCCCCAUUUAAGCGAAAAUCACGCGUUUUCUCUUCGGAAAUCCCCAUUUAAUUCGAAAAUCACGCGUUUUCUCUUCGAGAAUCCCCCAUUUAAGCCCGAAAAUCACUGUGUUUUCUCUUCGAGAAUCCCUCAUUUAACCCGAAAUCACGCGUUUUCUCUUCAGAAAUCUCCCAUUUAACCCGAAAAUCACGCGUUUUCUCUUCGAAGAAUCCCCCAUUUAAGCGAAAAUCACGCGUUUUCUCUUCGCAAAUCCCCCAUUUAACUCGAAAAUGACGCGUUUUCUCUUUGCAAAUCCCCCAUUUAACCAAAAAUCACGCGUUUUCUCUUCGCAAAUCCCCCAUUUAACUCGAAAAUGACGCAUUUUCUCUUCACAAAUCCCCCAUAUAGGCGAAAAUCACGCGUUUUCUCUUCGCAAAUCCCCCAUUUAACUCGAAAAUCACGCAUUUUCUCUUCGCAAAUCCCCCAUUUAACCCGAAAAUCACGCAUUUUCUCUUCGGAAAUCCCCCAUUUAACCAAAAAUCAUGUGUUUUCUCUUCGAGAAUUCCCAUUUCUAACCCGAAAAUCACGCGUUUUCUCUUCGAGAAUCCCCCAUUUAACCCGAAAAUCACGCGUUUUCUCUUCCAAAUCCUUCAUUUAAGCGAAAAUCACGCGUUUUCUCUUCGCAAAUCCCCCAUUUAACCCGAAAAUCACGUGUUUUCUCUUCGCAAAUCCCCCAUUUAACCCGAAAAUCACGCGUUUUCUCUUUGCAAAUCCACCUUUUAACUCGAAAAUCACUCGUUUUCUCUUCAAGAAUCCCCCAUUGAAGCGAAAAUCACGCGUUUUCUCUUCGCAAAUCCCCCAUUUAACUCGAAAAUGACGCGUUUUCUCUUCGCAAAUCCCCCAUUUAACUCGAAAAUCACUCAUAUCCUCCUCGCAAAUCCGCCAUUUAACCCGAAAAUCACGCAUUUUCUCUUCGAAAUCCCCCAUUUAACCGAAAAUCACGUGUUUUCUCUUCGAGAAUUCCCCAUUUUAACCGAAAAUCACGCGUUUUCUCUUCGAGAAUCCCCCAUUUAACCCGAAAAUCACGCGUUUUCUCUUCGCAAAUCCCUCAUUUAAGCGAAAAUCACGCGUUUUCUCUUCGCAAAUCCCCCAUUUAACCGAAAAUCACGUGUUUUCUCUUCGCAAAUCCCCCAUUUAACCCGAAAAUCACGCGUUUUCUCUUCGCAAAUCCCCCAUUUAACGCGAAAAUCACGCGUUUUCUCUUCGCAAAUCCCCCAUUUAAGCGAAAAUCACGCGUUUUCUCUUCGCAAAUCCCCCAUUUAACUCGAAAAUCACGCGUUUUCUCUUCGAAAUCCCCCAUUUAACGCGAAAAUCACGCGUUUCUCCUUCGCAAAUCCCCAUUUAACCCGAAAAUCACGCGUUUUCUCUUCGAAAUCCCCCAUUUAAGCCAAAAUCACGCGUUUUCUCUUCGAGAAUCCCCCAUUUAAGCGAAAAUCACGCGUUUUCUCUUCGCAAAUCCCCCAUUUAAGCGAAAAUCACUGCUUUUCUCUUCGGAAAUCCCCCAUUGAAGCGAAAAUCACGCAUUUUCUCUUCGAGAAUCCCCCAUUUAACCCGAAAAUCACGCGUUUUCUCUUCGAGAUUCCCCAUUUAAGCCGAAAAUCACGCGUUUUCUCUUUGCAAAUCCACCUUUUAACCGAAAAUCACG